GGGGAUUUAGCUCAGCGGCAUAAGCACCUGCCUUCCAAGCAGGUGGUCGUGAGUUCGAUCCCCG
rnacentral:tRNA from 1 species